UACGGAGGAUGCGAGCGUUGUCCGGAUUUAUUGGGCGUAAAGCGAGCGCAGGUGGUUUAUUAAGUCUGGUGUAAAAGGCAGUGGCUCAACCAUUGUAUGUAUUGGAAACUGGUAGACUUGAGUGCAGGAGAGGAGAGUGGAAUUCCAUGUGUAGCGGUGAAAUGCGUAGAUAUAUGGAGGAACACCGGUGGCGAAAGCGGCUCUCUGGCCUGUAACUGACACUGAGGCUCGAAAGCGUGGGGAGCAAACAGG
rnacentral:rRNA from 1 species